UACGUAGGGUGCAAGCGUUAAUCGGAAUUACUGGGCGUAAAGCGUGCGCAGGCGGCUUUGCAAGACAGAUGUGAAAUCCCCGGGCUUAACCUGGGAACUGCAUUUGUGACUGCAUGGCUGGAGUGCGGCAGAGGGGGGAUGGAAUUCCGCGUGUAGCAGUGAAAUGCGUAGAUAUGCGGAGGAACACCGAUGGCGAAGGCAGCCCCCUGGGCCGACACUGACGCUCAGGCACGAAAGCGUGGGGAGCAAACAGG
rnacentral:rRNA from 1 species